UUGCAGGCUGCAACUCGCCUGUAUGAAGUCGGAAUUGCUAGUAAUCGCGGAUCAGCAUGCCGCGGUGAAUACGUUCCCGGGCCUUGUACACACCGCCCGUCACACCAUGAGAGCCGGGAACACCCGAAGUCCGUAGUCUAACCCGCAAGGGGAGGGCGCGGCCGAAGGUGGGUUUGGUAAUUGGGGUGAAGUCGUAACAAGGUAGC
rnacentral:rRNA from 1 species